UACAGAGGGGGCAAGCGUUGUUCGGAAUUACUGGGCGUAAAGGGCUCGUAGGCGGCCAACUAAGUCAGACGUGAAAUCCCCAGGCUUAACCUGGGAACUGCGUCUGAUACUGGAUGGCUUGAAUUCGGGAGAGGGAUGCAGAAUUCCAGGUGUAGCGGUGAAAUGCGUAGAUAUCUGGAGGAAUACCGGUGGCGAAGGCGGCAUCCUGGACCGACAUUGACGCUGAGGAGCGAAAGCUAGGGGAGCAAACGGG
rnacentral:rRNA from 1 species